UUUGCAUCAGUUUCGUUAGUUCGAGGAUGGUGUAGAUGUCAUUUCUGAGCACGAGGUCUGUAAUUUGGGCCACCCAUCUGUUUCAUAUGAGCUCUUACAGUUAGGAGGUGCAACUCUCUGUCCUGAAGAUCCGGUGCCUUCUGUUGAUGAUUUAACCGAUUAGAUUCUCGAGGUUCUAUGUUUCUUCAAAUUGAACCCCAAAUAUGGAUUUGCUCAAGCAUAGAAUGAGGGUUUUUAUGAUGAUUUUGCAUAUUUACAGCCAGAAUCUUAUCGGUUCUGAGAGUUGGGAAAUUGAUUUUUCCUAUGAGUCACGAAUGAAUAAAUAAGAAUGAACAAAAUGACGUAUCUGAUAAAAUUCCGAGUAAUAACACCAGGGAUCUCUACCUCUGGACAUUGGAAAAUUGGCAAUAGGAUAUGGAAUGGUACCCAUGUUCAUUGCUGAAAUUGCUUCUAAAAAUUCACGAGCUUUGAAAACCAUAAACCAGGCUAUAGCUAAGAAAUUGGCAGAGCUUAGUGGGAAGAGGGACAAUAACCAUUGGAGGCGUGACUCUGUUGCUACUAUGGAAAUGGUGGUGUGAGCUUAGGGCUUCUUAAUGGAAAACCCUUACCUGGUGUUCUUGCCCUUAAUGGGGCCUAAAUAGUGUUUUUCUUUGUCAUGACUUGCCUCCAACCAGACUACGGAAUAAACUUGACCUAUGGAAUGAUCAUGUACAUGUAGGGAAGAUAAGCCGUGAACAUGGUUCACUUAUGGUAAACGUGAAAGAGGUUUAUGCAUUUGAGCAAGAAUUACUUGUGCA